CAGUCGCCGCGGUAAUACGAAGGGGGCUAGCGUUGCUCGGAAUUACUGGGCGUAAAGGGAGCGUAGGCGGACAUUUAAGUCAGGGGUGGAAUCCCGGGGCUCAACCUCGGAAUUGCCUUUGAUACUGGGUGUCUUGAGUAUGAGAGAGGUAUGUGGAACUCCGAGUGUAGAGGUGAAAUUCGUAGAUAUUCGGAAGAACACCAGUGGCGAAGGCGACAUACUGGCUCAUUACUGACGCUGAGGCUCGAAAGCGUGGGGAGCAAACAGGAUUAGAUACCCCCGUAGUCCCUGUCUCUUAUAC
rnacentral:rRNA from 1 species